AGGAGUUCAGCUUUAAGUGAAACUGCGAACGGCUCAUUAGAGCAGAUGUGAUUUAUUCGGAAAAUCCUAUUGGAUAACUGCGGUAAUUCUGGAGCUAAUACAUGCGUAUAAACCCUGACUUUCGAAAGGGUGCAAUUAUUAGAGCAAAUCAAUCAUUUUCGGAUGUAGUUUGCUGACUCUGAAUAACGCAGCAUAUCGGCGGCUUGUUCGCCGAUAAUCCGAAAAAGUGUCUGCCCUAUCAACCUGAUGGUAGUCUAUUAGUCUACCAUGGUUAUUACGGGUAACGGAGAAUAAGGGUUCGACUCCGGAGAGGGAGCCUUAGAAACGGCUACCACAUCCAAGGAAGGCAGCAGGCGCGAAACUUAUCCAAUCUUGAAUAGAUGAGAUAGUGACUAAAAAUAAAAAGACCAUUCCUAUGGAACGGUUAUUUCAAUGAGUUGAUCAUAAACCUUUUUUCGAG
rnacentral:rRNA from 1 species